GUGAACGCUGGCGGUAGGCCUCACCCCUGCAAGUCGAACGGCAGCACAGUAAGAGCUUGCUCUUACGGGUGGCGAGUGGCGGACGGGUGAGGAAUACAUCGGAAUCUACUUUUUCGUGGGGGAUAACGUAGGGAAACUUACGCUAAUACCGCAUACGACCUACGGGUGAAAGCAGGGGAUCUUCGGACCUUGCGCGAUUGAAUGAGCCGAUGUCGGAUUAGCUAGUUGGCGGGGUAAAGGCCCACCAAGGCGACGAUCCGUAGCUGGUCUGAGAGGAUGAUCAGCCACACUGGAACUGAGACACGGUCCAGACUCCUACGGGAGGCAGCAGUGGGGAAUAUUGGACAAUGGGCGCAAGCCUGAUCCAGCCAUACCGCGUGGGUGAAGAAGGUCUUCGGGUUGUAAAGCCCUUUUGUUGGGAAAGAAAAGCAGCAGGUUAAUACCCCGCUGUUCUGACGGUACCCAAAGAAUAAGCACCGGCUAACUUCGUG
rnacentral:rRNA from 1 species